rnacentral:rRNA from 1 species
AUUGAACGCUGGCGGCAUGCCUUACACAUGCAAGUCGAACGGUAGAGGGGCAACCCUCGAGAGUGGCGAACGGGUGAGUAAUGCAUCGGAACGUGCCCAGUCGUGGGGGAUAACACUUCGAAAGAAGUGCUAAUACCGCAUACGACCUGAGGGUGAAAGCGGGGGACCGCAAGGCCUCGCGCGAUUGUAGCGGCCGAUGUCAGAUUAGGUAGUUGGUGGGGUAAAGGCCCACCAAGCCGACGAUCUGUAGCUGGUCUGAGAGGACGACCAGCCACACUGGGACUGAGACACGGCCCAGACUCCUACGGGAGGCAGCAGUGGGGAAUUUUGGACAAUGGGCGCAAGCCUGAUCCAGCCAUGCCGCGUGCGGGAAGAAGGCCUUCGGGUUGUAAACCGCUUUUGUCAGGGAAGAAACGCUCCGGGCUAAUACCCUGGGGUAAUGACGGUACCUGAAGAAUAAGCACCGGCUAACUACGUGCCAGCCGCCGCGGUAAAAC